GCUGGAAUCGCUAGUAAUCGCGAAUCAGAAUGUCGCGGUGAAUACGUUCCCGGGUCUUGUACACACCGCCCGUCACACCAUGGGAGUCGGAAAUGCCCGAAGUCAGUGACCCAACCGUAAGGAGGGAGCUGCCGAAGGUGGAGCCGGUAACUGGGGUGAAGUCGUAACAAGGUAGC
rnacentral:rRNA from 1 species